UGCCCCAUGGCUGAGUUGGUUACAGCGUCCGACUGUUACAUUGCAAUCGGAAGGUCGUGAGUUCGAGCCUCACUGGGGCAG
rnacentral:tRNA from 1 species